UCUGCCGUCACUCGAAUGCUGAUUGAUAAAAUCUUCUUGAAUUCCCGUUUUAGAUGAAGAAUGACUCAUAAACCUCACAAAGAGAAAGGAAGUGUGGCCUUUUCCAGAUCUAGAUUGGCUGUCCAAGUGUACCAGCUUGUUGGAGUACGUCCUCAUCCUUCUACUAUCCAGCUCCGUAGCAUGUCAAGUGAUGCUGGACCUAAAAAAGGAGGGGACCUAAUACAGACCCAUAAACUGGCGCCACCUACUGGAUCUGGCCGGGCACUGCACCACUUGCCCCGACUCAGGAACCUACCUACACACUUUUUGGACCUGUCUUCAUAAAGUUAUGUCUCAGAGACACGACUCCUACCUUUCAGCUUUUCCGUCUCAGUGCGUGCACACAUGAGAAGGACAAAGUCACACCAGUGGGAGUGGACCUGCUGGCCUGGAGGACCAGGAGCUCCUUGAUCCCUCAGCUAGCGUUUCAGCGCCCUGCAACACAAGCUGCACAC